rnacentral:misc_RNA from 1 species
AUUUUGUCCAAUGCAUAUUCUUGGUCCCCAACUAAAUGGAAAAUAUGCAAAUUUACCUUUUGUUGCUUUAUUAACUCCUUCACUAAACCUCAUUGGAUUGAACUCUUUUGCAUCAUCACCCCAUAUUUCAUUAUCAUGUUGCAAAUAAAUUGUUGGCAACAAUAGUAACAUCCCAGCAGGCAAUGACAAGUGCCCUAAUUUUGUCUCUUUUUGUACUCUUCUACCAAUCAUAGUUCCUGGUGGAUAUAACCUUAGAACCUCAUUGAAUAUCAUUGUUACAACUUUCAAUUGAUUCAACAUGUCAUAGUUAGGCUUGUUACUUCCAAAUACUUGAUGAACUUCUUGUCUAGCUUUUUCUUGCCAAUCCAAAUGUUUACUCAAUAAAAUCAAAGUCCAAACAAGUAAUACUGAAGUAGUUUCUUGACCAGCAAAAUAAAAUAAUUUGCAUUCUUCAAUCACUUCAUCAAUUGUCAUUCCAAAAUUCUUGUUUUCAUGAUGAAUUUGUAUUUCUUUGAAAUUUGAUUCCAAUAAUAUACCUAAUAAAUCAUCUUUUGUAGCUUCACCUUCUUUCAUUUCCUUUAUUCUAUUGUUGAUAAUUCCCAACACUAAUGAUCUUACUUCAUUUGCUAUUUGCUUUAUCCUCUUGUUCCUUUUUGUUGGCACAAACCUCCAUCCAGGGAUGUAUAUCCACCUUGCUGCUUGUAUAAUUAAAUCAGCUUGUUCUUUUUGUAGCUCAAAUAUUUGCCUUCCUUCUUCAUAAUUACUACCAAAUGCUGUUCUUGAAAUUGCAUCACUUGUCAAAGUUUGCAAAAAUGGCCA